rnacentral:lncRNA from 1 species
UUUUUUUUUUUUUUUUUUUUUUUUUGAGACAGAGUCUCGCUCUGUCUCCCAGGCAAGAGGGGCGAUCUUGGCUCACUGCAGCCUCCGCCUCUCAGGUUCCAACAAUUCUCCUGCCUCAGCCUCCCAGGUAGCUGGGAUUACAAGCACACACCACCAUGCCCGGCUAAUUUUUGUAUUUUUAGUAGAGACGGGGGUUUCACUGUGUUGGCCAGGCUGGUCUCAAACUCCUGACCUCAGGUGAUCUGCCCACCUCGACUCUCCCAAAGUGCUAGGAUUACAGGUGUGAGCCACCAUGCCUGGCUGACAAUUUUUAAUAAAUGUUUUGUUCACAUGGCUCUGGAAGAAUUGGACCUGGACAAAUAAUUGGGUUAGUCUAGUUUUACUGUUUUUCAUUCAGUGCCUUAGUUUAUACUGAAGACCUAGAUGACAAUUUCUGUUUUCCAUAAUAAAGUAGCUCCUGGUUCAGUUUUGUAAAGAGUUGUGUAAGAUCAAUUAACAUUUUGUGCAGAAUCACAGACACUGUAAAAUAUUUCUGCUUAUCUUCUAGGCAAUGCUAGCUAGCACUAGUGACUGAUAUGCUUUAAAAAACAAAACAAAACAAAAAAACCUUAACUGCCUCCCAAAAUAUCUUCACUACAGUUAUAUCAAGUUGCCUAAAAUUCUCAGCCUAGCAGUCUCUUGUUUGAGGUAAAUUACAAUUCUCUGGGAGACUUUAUAGCUGUGAAAUAUUUAACCUAUGAGGGAAAUACCUUUGCAGCUAGAAAUACAAUUUUCAGGUAUUUGUGGAUUCAAUGAAAAAGAAAUAAGCCACAAAGGAGAGAUUAUCAUGAAGGAAUGGUUUAGAGUUUGAAAGAAUGAUGUGUUCAGACUCUGGGCUGAAUGAGGCACAGAGAGGCAACAAGCUUUGAAAGUAACAGAAGCAGUAAUGGGAGGUGAGGGAGUGGAAGACAGAUUUUAAUUCUGUGACUUUUUUCCUACUGCUGGCUUUCGUUCUAGCACAUACAUGAUUCUGGAAAAUAAAGCAUAGUGUUCUCUUUUCUAA